GAAAUGCGAUAAUUAAUGUGAAUUGCAGAAUUCAGUGAAUCAUCGAGUCUUUGAACGCACAUUGCGCCCCCUGGUAUUCCGGGGGGCAUGCCUGUCCGAGCGUCAUUGCUGCCCUCAAGCACGGCUUGUGUGUUGGGCUUCCGUCCCUGGCAACGGGGACGGGCCCAAAAGGCAGUGGCGGCACCAUGUCUGGUCCUAGAGCGUAUGGGGCUUUGUCACCCGCUCCCGUAGGUCCAGCUGGCAGCUAGCCUCGCAACCAAUCUUUUUAACCAGGUUGACCUCGGAUCAGGUAGGGAUACCCGCUGAACUUAAGC
rnacentral:misc_RNA from 1 species